UCGAGAAUCUUUCACAAUGGGGGAAACCCUGAUGGAGCGACGCCGCGUGGAGGAUAAGGUCUUCGGAUUGUAAACUCCUGUCAUGCGAGAACAAAGCCUCACGGCCUGAUAGUAUCGCAAGAGGAAGAGACGGCUAACUCUGUGCCAGCAGCCGCGGUAAUACAGAGGUCUCAAGCGUUGUUCGGAAUCACUGGGCGUAAAGGGUGCGUAGGCGGCGCGGAAAGUCAGAUGUGAAAUCCGGAGGCUCAACCUCCGAAAUGCAUCCGAUACUCCCUCGCUAGAGAUUUGUAGAGGAGUCUGGAAUUCUCGGUGUAGCAGUGAAAUGCGUAGAUAUCGAGAAGAACGCUCGCAGCGAAGGCGAGACUCUGGGCAAAUUCUGACGCUGAUGCACGAAGGCUAGGGGAGCAAACGGGAUUAGAUACCCCUGUAGUCC
rnacentral:rRNA from 1 species